GUGGACGCCAGUCUGCGUGGAGCCGACCUUGAAAUACCACCCUUUAAUGUUUGAUGUUCUAACGUGGACCCGUAAUCCGGGUUGCGGACAGUGUCUGGUGGGUAGUUUGACUGGGGCGGUCUCCUCCUAAAGAGUAACGGAGGAGCACGAAGGUUGGCUAAUCCUGGUCGGACAUCAGGAGGUUAGUGCAAUGGCAUAAGCCAGCUUGACUGCGAGCGUGACGGCGCGAGCAGGUGCGAAAGCAGGUCAUAGUGAUCCGGUGGUUCUGAAUGGAAGGGCCAUCGCUCAACGGAUAAAAGGUACUCCGGGGAUAACAGGCUGAUACCGCCCAAGAGUUCAUAUCGACGGCGGUGUUUGGCACCUCGAUGUCGGCUCAUCACAUCCUGGGGCUGAAGUAGGUCCCAAGGGUAUGGCUGUUCGCCAUUUAAAGUGGUACGCGAGCUGGGUUUAGAACGUCGUGAGACAGUUCGGUCCCUAUCUGCCGUGGGCGCUGGAGAACUGAGGGGGGCUGCUCCUAGUACGAGAGGACCGGAGUGGACGCAUCACUGGUGUUCGGGUUGUCAUGCCAAUGGCACUGCCCGGU
rnacentral:rRNA from 1 species